rnacentral:lncRNA from 1 species
CAAGCAAGACAUUCCUUGGAUCAAUAUUCAAGACUCCUCACAUGAUGCUACAACUACUACUGCUACUCGUACAUGGGGAUGGCAAUUAAUGAUGCUAUAAAUCUAUGAUAAUCCCAGUACACCUGUCUGUAUAGGAUUUGUGAACCUCUUUAAUAAUGCUUACUAUUUAGUAUUCACUAAUAUAAACUGAAGUUUUUAACUUUUAUUAUGUAGUAAUUAAAUGAUG